UGGGGGAUAUUGCACAAUGGGCGAAAGCCUGAUGCAGCGACGCCGCGUGGGGGAUGAAGGCUUUCGGGUUGUAAACCUCUUUCGCUAUCGAACAAGGCCCGCUUAGGGUGGGUUGAGGGUAGGUGGAGAAGAAGCGCCGGCUAACUACGUGCCAGCAGCCGCGUUAAUACGUAGGGCGCGAGGGUUGUCCGGAAUUAUUGGGCGUAAAGGGCUUGUAGGCGGCUUGUUGCGCCUGCUGUGAAAACGCGGGGCUUAACUUCGCGCGUGCAGUGGGUACGGGCAGGCUUGAGUGUGGUAGGGGUGACUGGAAUUCCAGGUGUAGCGGUGGAAUGCGCAGAUAUCUGGAGGAACACCGAUGGCGAAGGCAGGUCACUGGGCCAUUACUGACGCUGAGGAGCGAAAGCAUGGGUAGCGAACAGG
rnacentral:rRNA from 1 species